rnacentral:rRNA from 1 species
UUCGGGUUGUAACUCCUUUCGACAGGGACGAAGCUUUUUGUGACGGUACCUGUAUAAGAAGCACCGGCUAACUACGUGCCAGCAGCCGCGGUAAUACGUAGGGUGCGAGCGUUGUCCGGAAUUACUGGGCGUAAAGGGCUCGUAGGUGGUUUGUCGCGUCGUCUGUGAAAUUCCGGGGCUUAACUUCGGGCGUGCAGGCGAUACGGGCAUAACUUGAGUGCUGUAGGGGAGACUGGAAUUCCUGGUGUAGCGGUGAAAUGCGCAGAUAUCAGGAGGAACACCGAUGGCGAAGGCAGGUCUCUGGGCAGUUACUGACGCUGAGGAGCGAAAGCAUGGGUAGCAAACAGGAUUAGAUACCCUGGUAGUCCAUGCCGUAAACGGUGGGCGCUAGGUGUAGGGGGCUUCCACGUCUUCUGUGCCGUAGCUAACGCAUUAAGCGCCCCGCCUGGGGAGUACGGCCGCAAGGCUAAAACUCAAAGGAAUUGACGGA